AGGGUUAAGGUGGGAUAAAUUUGGAAAAGUAGGCUAAGGUUCAUAGUCAAUAAGAUUGUUAUCUUCACUAUGCUCAUUCUGAUGGAUUAGUGUUGGGAUUAUUUCUUAUUCUCAUCCUUUAGGAUUAAUUGUUAUCGGGGAUUCAACUAUUGGAUAUGUCUUUAUUUUCAAUAUCCGCUGAAUUCUCCUUCUUUCAAGUGCCCUGAUGAUUAUUUUUUUAUUAU
rnacentral:lncRNA from 1 species